AAACGCUGUGUUGUAGUAUCAUGAGAACCAAUUGACCUCGCUGGUAUUGGCGCCAUAUGGGUAGUAACACGAUGAACCGACCCUGCAGGAAGUGGACGAGCUUUGACGGUUUUGGAAGAAGCACCAUUGGGAUCCUCCUUUUCUUCAUCUGACUUUACUACAUUAUCUAUUUCUAAAGCCUCAACACCCAACUCUCGAUCGAUAGACUCUGGCUUUUUCGAAAGAGCUUCAACAGAAGCUUGAUUCUCACGAAGUCGUUGUAAUUCUUCAUCUUCAAUAGAACCUACUGCACCAUUACUCUGCUCCUUUUCAUCUUGCAUCAAUUCACUAGCAGUUU